CCUACGGGUGGCAGCAGUGGGGAAUAUUCGUCAAUGGACGAGAGUCUGAACCAGCCAAGUCGCGUGAAGGAUGACUGCCCUAGUGGUUGUAAACUUCUUUUAUAUGGGAAUACAAUGUCCUACGUAAGGGAUCUUGUAUGUACCAUAUGUAUACGGAUCGGCUAACUACGUGCCAGCAGCCGCGGUAAUACGGAGGAUCCGAGCGUUAUCCGGAUUUAUUGGGUUUAAAGGGAGCGUAGGUGGAUUGUUAAGUCAGUUGUGAAAGCUUGCGGCUCAACCGUAAAAUUGCAGUUGAUACUGGCAGUCGUGAGUACAGUAGAGGUGAGCGGAAUUCGUGGUGUAGCGGUGAAAUGCUUAGAUAUCACGAAGAACUCCGAUUGCGAAGGCAGUUCACUGGACUGCAACUGACACUGAGGCUCGAAAGUGUGGGUAGCAAACAGGAUUAGAUACCCGAGUAGUC
rnacentral:rRNA from 1 species